GACGAACGCUGGCGGCGUGCCUAAUACAUGCAAGUAGAACGCUGAAGGAGGAGCUUGCUUCUCUGGAUGAGUUGCGAACGGGUGAGUAACGCGUAGGUAACCUGCCUGGUAGCGGGGGAUAACUAUUGGAAACGAUAGCUAAUACCGCAUAACAGUAGAUGUUGCAUGACAUUUGCUUAAAAGGUGCAAUUGCAUCACUACCAGAUGGACCUGCGUUGUAUUAGCUAGUUGGUGGGGUAACGGCUCACCAAGGCGACGAUACAUAGCCGACCUGAGAGGGCGAUCGGCCACACUGGGACUGAGACACGGCCCAGACUCCUACGGGAGGCAGCAGUAGGGAAUCUUCGGCAAUGGACGGAAGUCUGACCGAGCAACGCCGCGUGAGUGAAGAAGGUUUUCGGAUCGUAAAGCUCUGUUGUAAGAGAAGAACGAGUGUGAGAGUGGAAAGUUCACACUGUGACGGUAUCUUACCAGAAAGGGACGGCUAACUACGUGCCAGCAGCCGCGGUAAUACGUAGGUCCCGAGCGUUGUCCGGAUUUAUUGGGCGUAAAGCGAGCGCAGGCGGUUAGAUAAGUCUGAAGUUAAAGGCUGUGGCUUAACCAUAGUACGCUUUGGAAACUGUUUAACUUGAGUGCAAGAGGGGAGAGUGGAAUUCCAUGUGUAGCGGUGAAAUGCGUAGAUAUAUGAAGGAACACCGGUGGCGAAAGCGGCUCUCUGGCUUGUAACUGACGCUGAGGCUCGAAAGCGUGGGGAGCAAACAGG
rnacentral:rRNA from 1 species